UACGGAGGGUGCAAGCGUUAUCCGGAUUUACUGGGUGUAAAGGGCGUGUAGGCGGGUUUGCAAGUCGGGUGUGAAAGAUCCAGGCUUAACUUGGAGAGGUCAUCCGAAACUGCAGAUCUUGAGUGCUGGAGAGGAUAGUGGAAUUCCUGGUGUAGCGGUAAAAUGCGUAGAUAUCAGGAGGAACACCAGUGGCGAAGGCGGCUAUCUGGACAGUAACUGACGCUGAGGCGCGAAAGCGUGGGGAGCAAACAGGAUUAGAUA
rnacentral:rRNA from 1 species